rnacentral:tRNA from 1 species
UCCUGGUGGCUCAAAGGGUAAAGCAUUUGCCUGUAAUGCGAGAGAACUGGGUUCAAUCCCCAUAUCAGGAA